AGAUUGAACGCUAGCGGCAUGCCUAACACAUGCAAGUCGAACGGUAACAGGCCCUUCGGGGUGCUGACGAGUGGCGGACGGGUGAGUAAUGCGUAGGAAUCUACCCACGGGUGGGGAAAUAACCAACCGAAAGGUCGGCUAAUACCGCAUAAGUCCGUAACGGGGGAAAGCGGGGGAUACGAAAGACCUCGCGCCGGUGAUGAGCCGAAGCCGGAUUA
rnacentral:rRNA from 1 species